CCUACGGGUGGCAGCAGUGAGGAAUAUUGGUCAAUGGUCGGGAGACUGAACCAGCCAAGCCGCGUGAGGGAGGAAGGUACAGCGUAUCGUAAACCUCUUUUGUCAGGGAACAAAGGCGGGGACGUGUGCCCGGAUGCGUGUACCUGAAGAAUAAGCAUCGGCUAACUCCGUGCCAGCAGCCGCGGUAAUACGGAGGAUGCGGGCGUUAUCCGGGUUUAUUGGGUUUAAAGGGGGCGGAGGCCGGCUGUUAAGUGUGCCGUGAAAGGCCGGGGCUCAACCGCGGGCGCGCGGUUGAAACUGGCAGUCUCGAGUGGGAGAGAGGUAGGCGGAAUGCGCGGUGUAGCGGUGAAAUGCAUAGAUAUCGCGAAGAACUCCGAUUGCGAAGGCAGCAUGCCGGAUCGACACUGACGCUGAGGCACGAAAGCGUGGGUAUCGAACAGGAUUAGAUACCCGGGUAGUC
rnacentral:rRNA from 1 species